GCACAACUUAGACACAAAGAACAUUGAACAUCGUGAGAAAUUUCAGGAACUCAAGAAGGAGAUUAACUUCUAUCGCAACCUGCACAGCCGGCUCCUGAUGGACCAGGCAUGUAUGAAGAAGAAGUUGGUCACAUUGAAGCAGGAGUGCAAGGAGUUACAGCGAUAUUUGUUUGAGUUGAACCCGAAGGAUGAAGACGAACAGGAGAAGACCAGCAACCUCCAGACCCAGCAAAAUGUGGUCUCAGGAACUGCAGGAGACAUGGAAUAGGACGGAUCCCAGGAAGACAGCCCCCUGAGGAAUGAGUUUCUCUCUCAGGAGUUCCCUGUGACGACAAUCCUCACAGUCAAAGACUUUUUGUGGGUGAAUAUUCUUCUUCUCAGAUAAUUUCCUCAAUGUUUAGAGACCCUACAUUUAUGUAUCCGUAUGCCAG
ensembl:lncRNA